ACUUCAAAAGGUGCUAUUAUUGACAAUUGCCCAAAAUAAAAUCGGAUAAUUUAGUUAUUGUAUGAUAUACUUACCAUAAAGGAAAAAUAUAUCAAGAUCUGCAGUUGGAGAUGGAUAAUUCGAAGAAAAAUAAAUAAAGAAAUUUAAAAAUAAUUUCAGUUACAAAAAAAAAAAAUGUAAAAGCCAAAUGUGCCUUUUCAACUCUGGCUCUAAAAUGAAGCCAACGUGGCUCAGAGCUGUGCUGUAUUGACACAACGCAAGCAAGUAUAUGUUCUGUCUCCACGUGACAUCCAUCAUUGUGACUGUGCGUGCCUUUGCAACUCUGGUAUUUUUGUGUUUACGUAUAAUUGGUUUUGUCCUUAAUUUUGGUUUACAAGUUCCAUGUGAGAGUGUACAAGUUCCAGCUGAACAAACUAAGUUUCUUUACGUUUCCUCCUAAGACAUCACCGGUUAUGAGGUCCUGGUUUAGUGGUAACUGGGUCAUCAUAUUAAGAGAGAAAUUAUACAUUUUUAAUCAUAACUUCCAUUCAGUUAUGGUCUCAACGUAAGCAUGAGAAGAGUUAAGUAGAAGAAACAUGAAUAGAAAAUGGAAGAAAUAUAUCACAUAAACAUUUUUGUUCAGCAGAUAAUAUAAUAGAAUUUUGAUUAUGAGGUCCGGGUGAGUCUUCAAUUUGUUGGAAUCAGCAUAGUAGAAUUAAUCGAACAUAUUCAUUGCCCAGUUUCAUCUGAUUUCAAACUUAAGGUCAAGAGAGAAUAGAAGUCAUACACUUGGAUUCAUUAUCAAUCAAAAGCUAAAAUGACGGGAACAUCCAACAAAACCCACCCAUGAGGGGGCGGGCCUUACAUGAAACUUGGGGCAACGGGGCCCUUUGAGAUGCCAAGACGAACUUCCAUCCCGUGGUGGAAGUCUACGGGCUUGAAUAUCUCCGAGUCACGAGGAUCUGCAAGGGAUACAAACAAACACAAGUUUCAGACAAUCUGAUAUCCAAUUUUAAAACCAAUGCCACGUUUAGACCCCUUUCAUUACUUAAUCUGACCAAUCAAUAAUGGCAUCUUGCGAGUAUCAAAGUAUAGAUUUUCAUCUAAUAGUGUUCUGUUAGUGCAUAAUGAGAUACCAUCAAAUAGGAUAUCUACUGAUCUAGAGAAGUGAAUGUAGCGUUGAGAAACAUGCAAUGCAAUAGGAUAGGAGUAAAGGACAAAUACCAUUCAAGUAAUCCUCAAAACCAAAGUUAUCAAUGGCUCCUGUGUAGACUUCUAACCCGAGCAUUGACGAUGGAAUUGGCCCAGGAGGUCUUUGAAACCUAACAGAGAGAAAAAUAAGGAUAGAAUGAGAAAAGUGCAAUCAAACAUUGUUCUUCCGACACAAGCAGAUCAUACAGCAAAGAGUUAACACCUUAUCUAACUUUAAACCAAAAACUAGCUUCCCAAUGGUCACACACAUAACAGAAUCUUUAUGUACAAACUAUUAGCAAUCUGAUCUAGUCAUAGAGAGACCUAUCAGUGUUCUAGUAUGUUACCGUGAGAGAAUUUGCCUGUCCAUAUCCAUCUUCAAAGGAAGUGCAGACCCGUAGGUGUGCCCAAUGAUCGUCCUCUUCGUCGCCUCGUGCGAUCUCUUUCCUUUCUUUCUUUCCCUGAAACCCAAAACAAAGUAACUGUUGAUCCACAAAAGAACCCUAAUUUUGCAGCCAUUGAGAGCUCUAGUGAGAUUGAAACAGCAAACAUGAGAAGAAGUAAGCUAAUCGAGCACACUUUUAAGUUCCUUUCUUAGCUAAUCUCCCGAGAGACAAACAGAUUUGAUUCGAUAAACUCGAUUUAGGGGGGGAAAGAUUACAGAUUCGUAAGAGGAUUCGAGUGGGUGAGAUCCGACGAUGUCGCUCUUCACGCCGUUGAGACCGAAUCGAAGAGUGUCUCUCUUGACACCGCCGAUCUCAUGAGCUAUCUUCUUCGGAGACUCCAUUGUUUUUCUUCCGCCGAUCUUUCUUCGUCUAGCUUCCUCUGCGGGCAAGCAAGACUGUCUUAUAAUGGGCUCUCUCUCUUCAAUUAGGGAGCCGGACUCUUGGCCCACUAAUUUUGUAUUUUGGCCCAAAAGAGAGAGAGAGAUAACUCUUGUUCAGUUUCUUUUUUGAAACACAACUCUGGUUCAAUUUUUUUCUUUUUUAUCAACAUUAUCCAUGAGUUAAAGAGUACACAGGGCCGGGCCUGAGCACAAGCUCAUCAAACAUUAGCUUGAGGACCGAUAGUGUUAAAAAUAAUUUAGGAACCAAUUACAUCAAAUGUCUGACAGUUCAGAUGGCAAAAUUUGGUUGUUAAUUGUCUUAGGAUGUCGAGUUCGAAACGCAUAUACAGCAAAUCCGCAAUGAUUUUUUAUCGAAAGAAUUGUUGUAUGGCCAAAUAAAUUUUAGUUGCUUCUGGGCCUACAUAUGUCAGGCCCGGCCCUGAGUACACACAGUAUACAUCAAUCCAUACGUGUUCACCAUAUAAUACAAAAAAUACACGUGUUAAAAAAGAGGCAUGCAACUCAAUUCCCAAGCUUCACCGGCGGCAAUCUUCUCUUUUCCGGCAGCUUUUCGACUAACCAGUCACCGGUCUAAGCUUUCUUCUCUUUCUCAACACCUUGAUUGAACCAUGACUUGUACUCUUUUAACUCUCUCUUUCGCCAUAACCGCUACUAUAAAAUGAAACUCUAGCCAUCUCUGGUGAUUUAUCACAGGGAAGGACCCGAUCAGAUUUGAGGAGACCCUUUGUUAGACUAUCUUCAACGCUGGAAGGUACCAACUCUGCUGAAUCUCUCUAACAAUGAUCGAAGUCAAACCAACAUCUUCAUCUCCCUUUUCAUCAGGGAUACUAACCCAAAGCCAAAGACUUAAACUUCAAAGGGGUAAGAUUUAGACCCAUAGAAAAGAGAUCUGAAGUUAACCCAAGAGGUAGAGAUCUCAAGAUACAGCAUACGGGAUGAGAAUGAAUUACGAAGGAUGGAUUAAAAUCCGGACUUAGCCGGAAGAAAGACUUUAUUUAGGUUCACCCAAGUUAGAAAAGGAUGGGACUGAUAAUCAGCUCUGAACUUAGUUGAACUUUUCAUCCCAAAAUCGUCAACACGACAAAAGAAAUCGCCAAUGCGAAUAGGAAAUCGCCAACGCGAAAUUGAUCAUAGAUAAAAGCUAUUCACAACCAAAAACAAAAGAAAAGGAUGGUAACCAGCGGCAAGAGCCACCGGCUACCGCUUUCAACUAUAAUUAAGAAACCUGUUUUAGAGAGAAGUGGGAGAGAACUCGGAAGAGAACUUUUUUGAUUUAACUCUGGUUCAAUUAAUAUCUCAGUUUUCGUCUUUCAUAAAGAAGCAAAAUCUCUUUCUUUGGUAAGAGCAAUCCCCACUGUCCAUUGGACAUGCGCUAAACAUUUCAUAUUUUUAUUACAUAUUUUGAACAUUACCAUUUCUAAAAAAUGAAG
rnacentral:lncRNA from 1 species